UACGAGGUGCAGCGUAAGUCGAAUACUGGGCGUAAGCGCACGCAGGCGGUGGAUAAGUUAGAUGUGAAAGCCCCGGGCUCAACCUGGGAAUUGCAUUUAAAACUGUCCAGCUAGAGUCUUGUAGAGGGGGGUAGAAUUCCAGGUGUAGCGGUGAAAUGCGUAGAGAUCUGGAGGAAUACCGGUGGCGAAGGCGGCCCCCUGGACAAAGACUGACGCUCAGGUGCGAAAGCGUGGGGAGCAAACAGGAUUAGAUACCCCCGUAGU
rnacentral:rRNA from 1 species